rnacentral:rRNA from 1 species
CCUACGGGAGGCUGCAGUGAGGAAUAUUGGUCAAUGGACGAGAGUCUGAACCAGCCAAGUAGCGUGAAGGAUGACUGCCCUAUGGGUUGUAAACUUCUUUUAUAAAGGAAUAAAACGAGGCACGUGUGCCUUUUUGCAUGUACUUUAUGAAUAAGGAUCGGCUAACUCCGUGCCAGCAGCCGCGGUAAUACGGAGGAUCCGAGCGUUAUCCGGAUUUAUUGGGUUUAAAGGGAGCGUAGAUGGGUUGUUAAGUCAGUUGUGAAAGUUUGCGGCUCAACCGUAAAAUUGCAAUUGAUACUGGCAGGCAUGAGUACAGUGGAGGUAAGCGGAAGUCGUGGUGGAGCGGUGAAAUGCUUAGAUAUCACGAAGAACCCCGAUGGCGAAGGAAGCUUACGAAACUGUGACUGACAUUGAUGCGCGAAAGUGUGGGUAUCAAACAGGAUUAGAUACCCUAGUAGUC